UCAAUUAUUAAUUUUUGCGGCUGGACGCGGUGACUCAUACCUGUAAUCUCAACACUUUGGGAGGCCGAGGUGGGCAGAUCACCUGAGGUCAGGAGUUUGAGACCAGCCUGGCCAGCAUGGUGAAACUCUGUCUCUACUAAAAAUACAAUAAUUAGCUGGGUGUGGUGGCACGCACCUGUAAUCCCAGCUACUGGGGAGGCUGAGGCAGGAGAAUCUCAUGAACCCAGGAGGCAGAGGUGGCGGUGAGCUGAGAUUGCACCACUACACUCCAGACUGGGAUUUAAGAAAAUGUGUAGUUAAAUAUUGCCUAAAAUGCUCGAAUGUAGGUUAUAAACAAUGAGAAUAGGGCCCAUGAAGAGAUUUUCGUUUUUCACAGAGGUGAGACUUAAAAAGGCCUUGAAGGAUAAAUAGAAAUAGAAGCAGAGUAGAAGGGUUAUUCCAGGAGAAUAUUAGUUUGGAUGAGGGCACAGAGGCAGGAAGAUGGAGCUUAGCUUGAGGGAAUGGAGGUCACUGGUGCUGUGAAUAUUUGCAGACAGCCAUAUCCAGAGCUGAGAGGUGAAAGAACAGACUGGAAUAGUUCUUUUCUUUUUCACUCUCCUACCUUAUUUGCUUUUGGUUUAGCAAGGAGGAUCGAAAGUAAACCAAGAGAAAUGGUGGGGGGCAGCAGAGGGAGGUGGGAGGGAAACUCCAGGAUGAGUUAUGGUCAGCCAAAAGAAGCUGUUGAAAUAAAAUGACCAAGAGUUAAUGCCUUUAUAGACGCAGGGAUGCACAGCCUAGAUCCCCUUCCUCUAAAGGACUUGCUGCCCAUCCACUGAAAGCUUGGUCAGCAGCCAGCCCCCAGCUAUCGGCUCUUUCAGGGCCUGCCUUGUUGCAAAGGGCCGCCUCCCUGCAAAGAGCUGCCUUGCUCAAAGAGCUGCCUUGCACUAGGUCAUGCUCUUCUGGUGGCAGCUUGCAUCCUGUCACAGAGAGGCAGGGGUGUGAAAGCACAGCCAUCUCAUUUGCUCUGCAGGACAAUAUCCACUCCAGAGUUCCUGCUAGACUGGCCAAGACCUUGUUGCCAUUCAACUUCUUUCCCAUUCUACUCGCUCCCUCCUUCCUUCACAGGUGUUGAGCCCUAAUAAAAUUUUGCACCCGAAAUUCUGCUUCAUUAUCUGUUUCUGGAGAACCCAACCUGUAACAUUUUCCCAGCCAGGGCUGAAUACACACACACACACACACACACACACACACACACGUGCUCUCUCUGUAUAUAUGUUUCUGUGUAUGUAUAUAUGUAUGUAUAUUUUUAAUUACUUUUCUCCAUUCAAUAGUAUACUGCCUAUCAAUUAUUAGCAAAUUGUAUUUUCAACCUGUUGGCUUAUUUAUUCUAAAUAUAGCCAUUUUCCUCUAAAGAGAAAUCUUUGUUGCCAAAAGAAUUUUAUAAUGGCAAAAUCAGUCAUUUUCCCCACUAAUCGCAAUGUAAUUUUGCCCAUUUUGAGAUGGGCAAAAAUCAUAUGUUCAGAACAGUAAGGUGAGACAGAAUCAGCUAAUUUACUGAUAACUGUGGGCACUACCUGAACUGACGUAUCAUGCUGCUACGCACUUUAGUACCAGGCUCUCUGGUGGCCAGUUCUUUGCAGGAUAACGUGGAAUAAUGCUUAUGUAAAAUAUGACUUCCAAGACUAAUUCUCAACUUCAGACUCCCCACUCCCAGCAUUAUUGCUUUGGCAUUAGUAAUGUUAGUCAGAAAUAUGAGUAAUUCUUGGCAAGAAUGGGAAGCAUUCAACUUGUAACUUCAAAAAGACAUUAUCUGAAAGGUUGAAAGCCAGUUUCUAAUAGUACCUGGUAUCUUGGCUUCAGGGCUCACAGCAAUCCUGUGGAGAAAGUAUGAGUUUCCCAUUUCAACAAAGAAGGUGAGGCUUAGAGGGAAAGGAAGUUGCUCAAGAUUUGCUCUGGAACAGAGCCAGGAUUCCCACUCAGAUCUUCGACUCUGAAUCCUGCAGGCCUUCACCUGUGCGAGCACUGAGCGCCUGGCUGCCAGCUCCAGAGCUCCUCUGGGGCCUUGGUCAGUGUGGUGUUGUUUAUGUCCAGCACACUUUCCGUUGGUCUACUGGAGGACAGUUCCUGUACAGGCAGAUGACUUCCUUCACCAAGGACCUGUGACUCUCUCCCUGAGGGCUUUCUCUGACAUCAUCUGCACAUGGACAGCUUAGACUGAAAGUUUCAGGGGUUCGAUGCCUUCCAGAGGCACCUCUCUAACAAUAAGAGCCCAGAUUGAGUGGAAAUACCCCAGCUUCCUUACCACUCCAGCCUCCAUGCCCUUAGUGGCAUGAUUCCGAGGUGCAUCCUACACUGACUCUUGGUGGCUCCCUGGCCAGAGCUCAUUCGCGUGGCCCUCAGCAGCUCUCCUCCUUCCCUGGCUGUCUUCCUCACCACCUCUCCGUGAUUCCAGGAAUCAGCUCCCGAAUAAACGACUUGCACCCG
rnacentral:lncRNA from 10 species